rnacentral:rRNA from 1 species
GUUGAACGCUGGCGGCAGGCCUAACACAUGCAAGUCGAGCGGAUGAGAAGAGCUUGCUCUUCGAUUCAGCGGCGGACGGGUGAGUAAUGCCUAGGAAUCUGCCUGGUAGUGGGGGACAACGUUUCGAAAGGAACGCUAAUACCGCAUACGUCCUACGGGAGAAAGCAGGGGACCUUCGGGCCUUGCGCUAUCAGAUGAGCCUAGGUCGGAUUAGCUAGUUGGUGAGGUAAUGGCUCACCAAGGCGACGAUCCGUAACUGGUCUGAGAGGAGGAUCAGUCACACUGGAACUGAGACACGGUCCAGACUCCUACGGGAGGCAGCAGUGGGGAAUAUUGGACAAUGGGCGAAAGCCUGAUCCUGCCAUGCCGCGUGUGUGAAGAAGGUCUUCGGAUUGUAAAGCACUUUAAGUUGGGAGGAAGGGCAGUAAGUUAAUACCUUGCUGUUUUGACGUUACCGACAGAAUAAGCACCGGCUAACUCUGUGCCAGCCGCCGCUGUAAUAC